rnacentral:rRNA from 1 species
AAAUUGUUGAAAGGGAAGCGCUUGUGACCAGACUUGCGCCGGGCAGCUCAUCAGGGGUUCUCCCCUGUGCACUCUGCCCGGCUCAGGCCAGCAUCGGUUCUCGUGGGAGGAUAAGAACGGUAGGAACGUGGCCCCCUUUCGGGGGGGUGUUAUAGCCUGCCGUACGAUACUCCCGUGGGGACCGAGGUUCGCGCUCCGCAAGGAUGCUGGCGUAAUGGUCAUCAGCGACCCGUCUUGAAACACGGACCAAGGAGUCGUCCAUUAGAGCGAGCGUUUGGGUGUAAAACCCGCACGCGUAAUGAAAGUGAACGCAGGUGAGAGCUUCGGCGCAUCAUCGACCGAUCCUGAUGUCUUCGGAUGGAUUUGAGUAAGAGUUUUAACGGACGGACCCGAAAGACAGUGAACUAUGCUUGUAUAGGGUGAAGCCAGAGGAAACUCUGGUGGAGGCUCGCAGCGGUUCUGACGUGCAAAUCGAU